ensembl:rRNA 5S_rRNA 5S ribosomal RNA
GUCUACAGCCAUACCAGCCUGAAUGUGCCCGAUCUCAUCUGAUCUUGGAAGCUAAGUAGGGUUGGUCCUGCUUAGUACUUGGAUGUGAAUUCCUACUCAAAGAGGGUAUUUCAUCUU